rnacentral:rRNA from 1 species
GUAGGUGGCAAGCGUUGUCCGGAAUUAUUGGGCGUAAAGCGCGCGCAGGCGGUUCUUUAAGUCUGAUGUGAAAGCCCACGGCUCAACCGUGGAGGGUCAUUGGAAACUGGAGAACUUGAGUACAGAAGGGGAAAGCGGAAUUCCACGUGUAGCGGUGAAAUGCGUAGAGAUGUGGAGGAACACCAGUGGCGAAGGCGGCUUUCUGGUCUGUAACUGACGCUGAGGCGCGAAAGCGUGGGGAGCAAACAGGGAUUAGAUACCCUGGUAGUCCACGCCGUAAACGAUGAGUGCUAAGUGUUAGGGGGUUUCCGCCCCCUUAGUGCUUCAGCUAACGCAUUAAGCACUCCGCCUGGGGAGUACGGCCGCAAGGCUG